CACCCAUGGUCAGGGAAGCGCCAUCGCCCUGGCUUUGAGGCUGGGGCCUCCGGGGAGGUUCCGGAAAUCUCACUUCCAACUGGAUGUCUGGAUGAACUACUGAAAGCUGCUGAGUGUCCUGCAGCAGGUGAGCUGUGGCCAGAGCCCAAGGAUGAAGGGGGCUCCCUCACUCUGUGACUGUGAAGAGGAAGCCUGAGGUGUAGCAGGCCCAGGCCCCAGAAGUAUGGAAAAAAUGAGGCCAUUUCCAAUCCAGCGGAAGACCUUCUAGAAGAGGUGAUGGGUGGGAGAGUGCUGGCAUACUACGUGAAGCUACUAUUUGGAGUUGGACACGAGUGCAUGUGACCUUGUGCCACAGCGGGAAUGUGAGCUGGAUGACAAAUGGAGAUUUGGACUUGUGAUAAUUGGCCUCUGUGUCAUUGUGUGGAAGACUGACUGGUCCCUUUAUUUCCUGUAGCUUGACUACCACACAAAUGAAUCCACUCAAAUGUUGGCAAGUGGAGCAGAGUCCCAGGACAGGUAAGGCACUUUGCCUGCUUUUUCUUAAGAUCAAUCCCCAUGCCUAAAAAUUAAAGUCACAUCCCACACGAUCAUUAAAGUAGAGAGUGCAUUCUGCAGGAUGAGUGAAAAGGCAUUUAUGAUUCUUGGGGGCAGAUGUUCUACAGUAGCCUGUGCUAGUUCAUGUCUUUCUGCAGAUCACAUUCUUAACCUCUAGAGAGCCUGGCAGGACCAGAGCCUUACCUUUCCCAGUCUGCAAUCUCUACAGGUACAGAAACACCCCCAGUUCAAGGAUCUUCACACCUGGAUUUAGGCCUACUCCUGCAACUACCCCAGGUAAGUUUCCUUGUUCUUCAAUGGCAAAGUUUGGACAAUGCUGUUCAAACUCCAGGCAACAAGCAACAUCUAGGAAAUGUGCUUUUAGGUAGGGUCAGCAUAAUAUCCCACCCUGGGAGACAGUUUUAUUUUAUAGUUGUAGAGGGUGAUGCUGCUGGUGGCUCCCUCCCAAUCAGCACCAUUUGCAGCCUCUUUUGAAGAUAGAGAACUGAGGGCUGUCCUUCGAAUGGAGCAGUGUGAUUCCAAAAAAAGAGAUGCUCCUUGUGGUCCUGGGACCAGGGAUAGGACUCCAGUUGAGCCUGGUGGAAUAGGUCCUCGUCCUAACCCAAUGGAGAGCCAUGCAGCUGAGCUUGGGCGAUGUGGUCCACGUGGUUGUUUCUGACUGUGUCCUGUGGUUGCUGGAUGGCUUGCAGUUCCCUAUGCAGAUCCAAUGCAUCUUUUGCUUUUUUGCUUCUAGAACCUGGAAUUUAUAUGUUCAACAUGGAGCCAUCCCAGCCAUGACAACAGAGAAUGUACCACUCUCACGUGAGUAAGAGGGGUAGGCAGUGCUCCUGUAUCACCAGCCCUUAAUGAGACCCUGAGGAAACCACAUCAUGGAGAUCAGCCCUUCUCUCCUGUAAGGAACUCAUCCUAUGAAAGAGCAAUUAGUGCCUGCAAGAGCUGUCUCUGGGACAGCGGUUCAUGUCUAUAUCUGCAGGGUAACACUCAUAGUCAUAUGCAGUCAUAUCCAUAGUCAUAUCGGGAGUCAGACUCCAGUUUGACUGAGUGAAUGGAGAAACUAAACAUUUAUUACUGAAUAAUAACAUUAAUAAACCAUCUUAAUGAUAAUAAUAAUAAACAUAUUGAUGAGUAUUAACAGGAAUGAUGAUGAUUAUUAUGAUACUAAUAUCCAUAAUUAAUAAUUUUAAUAUUGAUAAUAGUACUAACCCUGUGGACUUGGGACCUAAAGAGCAGUUUCCCCUUACAAUUAUCCCAUAUUUGGCCACAGGGGGUAAUAUCGAGUUCCAGAAGGCAAGGAUUAACAUUCAGAAAAAUAGGAAAAACAACCUGCAGGUAAGCAUGUGCACACAUGGGGACUCUAUGGAUAAAUACUAAAGUGACUCUUGUUCUGGAUCUCCAUGUUAACAAACAUGCACCAGCUUUCAGGAGGUAGGACAGCUGGCUGAUGGGGCAAGGCUUCUUGAGGACAUGGCAGGAGUCAGAAAUCACACAUGCUGCCCAGCAGCAGAGCUCAUGACAAGCAGUAAACCCCAGCGAAAGGACCUGGCUGCCCUUUCUGCCAUCUGCUCUCCCAUGACCUCUCUUGACUGGUACAUCUAGGCACUGGAGUAACCUUCACUGGCUAUAGGAGGGCAUAAUCCUCAGUAUUCUCCCACCUGCAAGAAAGACAAAAAUUAAUUGAAUACCAUGGCUUCUGGGUAUUCUUAGUGGGCUUGACAUAUUUUGCCUUUGCUUUAACAGGCCAGUUAUCCAGGCAGUGACUUUCAGUGCAGCUACAGUCACCUCUGGAAACCUGCGGAGACUUUAAAAAUUUCCAGAAGGUCAGGAAUUUUUGGAGACCUUUCUCAUGGCUACAUUGCCUGCAAAGGUGAAUCAAUAAGCUUCUGAACUGACUUAGAAAAUGUUGCAGAGACUCUUGUGAACAGAUAGACCCUCUCCUGCCACUCAGAUAGACGUAUCAGGGUCACACACACCUGAUUUAACAACAUGUCAUUAUCUCAGGUGGGCAACAGACAGCAAUUUAGGACCUAUCCCAGUGUGGAUGAAAGACAUUGAGUUGGCUUAGAAAAAUGUUACAUAGACUAGAUGGGGCAAGAAAGCCCAUUCUGGGUCUCAAAAGCCUGCACAUAGAGUUGCUGACACAUAAAGGGUAUGUAUAAAUUCUUUCUUAGCCCAUGAGAUCAGGAUGUACUUCAUCAGUAUACCAUGCUGGUAUAAAGAGAUUCUUGCCUCCAAAGGGACUCAGAAUAUUUCAGGGAACCUGUAUUAGUCCAUUUUUACACUGUUGUAAAGACACUACCCCACACUGGGUAAUUUACAAAGGGAAGGUGUUUAAUUAAUUCACAGUUCUGCAUCGCUGGGGAGGCCUCAGGAAACUUACAGUCAUGG
rnacentral:lncRNA from 10 species